GAUGAACGCUGGCGGCGUGCCUAAUACAUGCAAGUCGAGCGAACGGACGAGAAGCUUGCUUUUCUGAUGUUAGCGGCGGACGGGUGAGUAACACGUGGAUAACCUACCUAUAAGACUGGGAUAAUUUCGGGAAACCGGAGCUAAUACCGGAUAAUAUUUUGAACCGCAUGGUUCAAAAGUGAAAGACGGUCUUGCUGUCACUUAUAGAUGGAUCCGCGCUGCAUUAGCUAGUUGGUAAGGUAACGGCUUGCCAAGGCAACGCUGCAUAGCCGACCUGAGAGGGGGAUCGGCCGCACUGGAGCUGGGACACGGUCCAGACUCCUACGGGAGGCAGCAGUAGGGAAUCUUCCGCAAUGGGCGAAAGCCUGACGGAGCAACGCCGCGUGAGUGAUGAAGGUCUUCGGAUCGUAAAACUCUGUUAUUAGGGAAGAACAUAUGUGUAAGUAACUGUGCACAUCUUGACGGUACCUAAUCAGAAAGCCACGGCUAACUACGUG
rnacentral:rRNA from 1 species